rnacentral:lncRNA from 1 species
CUUCUUUUCUCUUUCUCCCUGCUUUCUUUCUUAUUUCUUUCUACCCAGUUCGACCCUCUCUCUACGGUGUACUAUUCAUCAUCUUCCUCCUCCAUUCUCCUUCAUCUUUCACUCAACUUCAAGCCAAAAACUUGGGUUUUUGUGGGAUUUUCGGGUUUCUCUCUAGAUUUCUAGGUGUUCUUGAGUCUUUGGUGAAGCUUUUGAGCUUUCUCCAAGAGCAUGUUGGAAUCCAUGCUUUAAUAAUAAAAUGACUAUUUGAGGCUUGAAAUGCGGAGAUUUGAAGCAAGGAAAAGAAGACACGGAGAUUGGAAGAAAAUUACAAAUCGGCAUUUCCGGCGACUUUUCCAGUGAACUUUUCCUCGAGCCGCCACUCAUGGAGGAUCAUUUCUCCAGCAAUGGAGGAGCAUAAUUGUGUGAAUCUCUCACUUGAAAUUCAGAUAUU